GUCAUAACUCUGGAGCUGGAAAUGGAAAAGGCUGUGAUCUGGGGCUGGCUGGCACAGUCCCUGUGAGUCAUUAUGGAAACACUGGCCCCGGAUGCUGCUGAGAAGGACUGGGUUGCUGGGGCCCAAACCAGAAACCUGGGGGCCAACUGAGGUUCGUCCACCUGCCCUUACUCCAGAUUCACUGGUCAGCAAGCAGGUCAGUUCUACCUUCUAACUAGCUCUACGUUUUGCUGCUGCUCUCUCUUCACCAUCAGGCAACUGUCUUUGUUCAGGUCCUGUUUCUUCCUUAUCUCAGUUACCAUCUGUAUUAAAUGGGUCCCCUGAAAAGCAGACUCCAAAACAAGGAUUUAGUGCAGGUAGUUUAUCUGAGAGGUGAUCCUGGGAAGCGCUCUGAGGGAGUCGGGAAGUGAGGGGAGACAAUAAAAAGUGUGCGAAUAGGUAGAUCACCACUGAGGACAACUGGGGCCCAAUCCACUGGGACUGACCCUGAGACACGUCAGGGAACAUGCCUCAGAAUUGUCUUCCUGAGACAUGAGGAAACUGGGGUAUUUAUCUACCAACUCGAGCCCUCUCCUGGGGCCAGAGUG
rnacentral:lncRNA from 1 species